UAUAUUACCAGACACUGAUAUAAGUUUCCCGCACUACUUUGUUGGUGAUAACGCGUUUCCAUUGAAGUCAUUUUUAAUGAGACCAUAUCCAGGAGCCAACUUGCCUCUGGACAGACAAGUUUUUAACAAGCGGUUGUCCAGAGCACGGCGCGUAAUUGAAAAUGCCUUUGGAAUUUUAUCUUACCGUUGGAGAAUACUUUUAAGUCCUUUGCAAAUGAGCCCUGCAUCUGCUGAAAAAAUUGUUAAAGCUACCGUUGUCCUCCACAACUUCGUUAAAAUGCACGAUGGUAGCUAUUGUCCAGCGGAGUAUCUCGACCAGGAGGAAGGCGACGGUUUUAAAAAAGGAUUGUGGCGGAGUGAUGUUUCAACGCCUUUACAAAAGGCUCGGAGGGUAGGCUCGAACAAUGCAUCACAAAAUGCCUUCAAAUUAAGAGAUAUAUUGAAGAAUUUUCUCGUAUCCCAUCCAGUACAAAGUAGACCCCAAUAAAGAAAAAGGAAAUACUUCCUAAAGAAUUAUCUAACGGGAUUUCGGAGUUGAAUUCG